CAGACAAUGAAUUUUGCCCUCACAUACUGCUUGUGGAGUGUUUUAGCAGGAGCAAGAACCUCUUGCCCCUGGCUCAGGGUUGAAAUGGCUUCCUUUGGAUCAGUGCAGUUGUAGCAGCCUCUGGCACGUCUGUAUCAGUAGAUUUAUUCCAAGUAUUGCACAUUUGGGAUGCUUCCAUUUUGACCCAGAGAAAAUAUCCCCCCCGAGCAUGAGAUGAUGUAACAGGGGUUUGAAAUGGCAAAAUGAGGGAGUAAAUGACAGUGAAAAAGGCUCCUUUCCUCUUUUUCUUUUUUUAUUUGCUUGUUUGCCUCACUCAUCCCACUUUCACAGAAAAACAUGUCUAUCCUUAUCUGCUCUGCCUUUUUGUCUCUCCUCUGUGCCUUUCUCAUGAUCCCUCUUUGUUUUUUUAUUCUCUGUUACUCUGGCUGAAACCUGGCUCAAGCCUUUCUGCAGGGUGUUCAUCUGCAAAACACAGAUUGAUCCACGCUCCUGAUCCAUCACUGCCUCUGCUGCAGCCCCUUCAGAGAGGGAACUCUGGCACCUCCAGGUCCUGGUUUGGGGGGAUUGCUCUUCAGCAUCUUCAACCAGCAAUUGUCUCUUCAAAUAACCCCAUCUUACACGUGCUUUGGCUGGUCCUGCUGGAAAGGGAGGGAGGGAGGAAAGGAAAGAAGGGAAGGAAGAGAAGGAAAGGAAGGAAAGGAAGGAAGGCAUCUCCUCCUGUAGGUCUCUCAUCACCACAUCCUUCCCCUGUGACUCUUUCCAAGCCAGAGAGGUUUUUCCUUCUCCAUCUGCAGCAGCUUCUCACCCUGCUGGCAGAUCCAGGUUCCACUGGUCACUCUGCAGCCACAGAAGCUCCAGACCUUUAGUAAGUGGAUUGGGAGGAAACAUAAAGUGCAAAUAAAGGGAAAGGUUAUUUUCCAGAUCUACCUUAGCCAGUGCAUCUCUGUCCCGUGCUUUUCCUUUUCCCUACCAAACUGCCCGAGUUUCUUCAGCAGAGGGAGCUCCAGCUUUACGUUUGCUCUGCCUCGCCUUUCCCGAGGAUUGCCCUGAGGAGGUGGGAGGGAAUUCCUGCUUCUGGAGCCUUCCCUGGGCAGCAGCACCCACCCACUUCUGCUGGGUACCUUUCCCUGGGCAGCAGAACCCACCCACCUUUUCCCGGGCACCCCCAGCCCUACCCGGGCAGCCCCACCCAGCACCAGCUCGCAGGACGCUCCCGGUGCCGAAGCUCAGGAUGUGCCCCGGCCUCACCCUGACCUGGCAGCUGCUGACAAAGGUGCCCUGGGGGGAGCUAAGUCCUGAAGGAUGAAGCUGUUGUCUGAGGUGGAGAAUUCCAGGGCUGCAUGGCGAUCUGCUCCCCCUGCAGACUGGGAGCAGGCGAGGGACAGGCAGGGAACGCUGCUGGCGGUGGCUCCAGGUUCAUCCCUGCUUUGCCAAGCCCCUUUCCUGGCUGUCAAUCCCAGCACAAACUGGUACCUCCACACUUUGCACGGAGGGCUCCAGCACAUCCCUUUCCCUUCCCUCCAUCCCCCUCCCCUUUUAGGAUGCUCAGCUGCCUCAGCCCCACCUGCAGGAUGAUGUCAGCCCCUCUGUGGCUCCCGAUGGUCCUGGUGUAGGAUUCAAGCUGGAAACACCCUGAGCACUUUGGAAAGGCUCACCUUGCUCGGCCUCCUCACCUGCAAGGCUUGCACCAAGAAACCAACUUCUCAUUCAGGAACCUCCCACCCAACACAUCCUCAACCAACUCACACACCAGAAUUGCACAAAAUGACCCCAAAAGCGGCCGUGUCCCAGCUGGCAGUGUGGCUGCAGUAGCCUUGGAAACCUUGGCCAUGCUGCUGCCUGCCUGGGUGAGUUUUUCCUGUUUGCUUUGUUUAGUUUAGGGUUUUUCCUCUUCUUUUUCCAAGCAACUAUCCUGGCAGCACAACAAACUCUGUGCUGGAGAUGGGGAUGCCCAUGGAGCAGCAUCUAUUGAUGGAUCACAAACCUUGGGAGGAACCAACCAUGCACGAGUACACAACACACACACAAUGUACAAAACACACACAAAAUGUACAAAAUACACACACAAAAUGUACACAAAACACACACAAUGUACAAAACACACAAGCAAACACAACGUACAAAACAUUUAUUCAGACCAGCCUGCCUGCACAGGAUGCUCAGCAGUGGUUUCAGCCCUGGCUCUGGCACACGCAGCUCCCAACCCCCAGAGUCACCCAUUUGCCUCGAAUGGAGCACAAAACACAACAGGGAAAGCAGCAGAGGCAAGAAAUCCAUCCUCUCCCUGAGGAGCAGGAGGCCCCUUUCAGCUGCUUCCCACCAGCCAGCAGAGACCUUGGCAGGAGUCAGGGCUGGCUCUGGGCCACCAGCCCAGCCCAGCUGGGAGCCAGGGAAAGCCCUCGUGCUUCUCUGGCAAUGCGCUUCCCCUUCCUCAGAAAGAAAAGACACCCGAAAAAAGAAACAUUUCACUUUUCCACUUGGAAAAUCCUUCUGCAACAUCAGUUUGGUGGCUUGGAAAAGUCUUGCUGGAAGAGAGGGGGAGAGGAGAUGAGAGGAUGCACUGGGUGGUCUCAUUUCAAACACCACAAGUGACACUUUUGGCAUGUCCAGCCUUCAUUUACUUCACAGCAGCAGAACUUGUGGUGUUCAGGUUUCUUUCCCCACAGUCUUUUGUAAAACCCAGUCCCAGGGAAAAUGAGUCCCGUCCUUGUGCCACAGCACGUCCUCCACGUGGCAGCUUCCAGGGAGCCCUGGCUGCUUGUGCACCCACACACCAACCCCCUCUUGGCACGGUGGGUUUUAAAAAACCCUCAACCAAGCAGCAUCACAGAUUCCUCAUUUUUUUUUUAAGGCAUUUGCUGGCCCACUGGCAUUUUCUCCUGGAUCUCCUCAUACUUGGGCGGAGGGGUGAGGGGCUCUAUGGUGAUAGGCACGCUGCUGUUGCCCUGUGCCAGGUUUAGCCUGAUGUCCUUCAGGUGCAGCUUCUCUGACU